rnacentral:rRNA from 1 species
UCCGUAGGUGGAUAAUUAAGCCAGAGGUGAAAUCCUGCAGCUCAACUGUAGAAUUGCCUUUGAUACUGGUUAUCUUGAGUCAUUAUGAAGUGGUUAGAAUGUGUAGUGUAGCGGUGAAAUGCAUAGAUAUUACACAGAAUACCGAUUGCGAAGGCAGAUCACUAAUAAUGUACUGACACUGAGGGACGAAAGCGUGGGGAGCGAACAGGAUUAGAUACCCUGGUAGUCC